CUUUCGUUUCUCACCGUUUCGUAUAUUCUUGUUUUCUCCAUCAGAGGAGAACGAUCCAGAGAGACGACAGAUGCGACUCCAUCGGUCCGUCUCGAUCCUCACCGUCGUGUUCUCUCGUCCUCUCCGUCACAAGUGAAUCGAAGCAAACACCACAGACGAAGACUCUCUCGUUCCUCACCGCGUCUUCUCUCAUCGCGAUUGUCCGAAGAAGGAUCGAAAUCCACGACUUGCGUCUCCUCCGUCGGUCCUAACGGCGACUCCUCCGUCUUCUCUUGUCUCCUCCGUCAGACGAGUUUCUCGGUCCUGUUCGCGUCUCCUCCAUCAUCUCUUCUCAAACCCGUUAGAGAAGGACCAAAACCCACCAUAAGCUCUUGUAUUGCUCUUAACUUCUAGAAGAUCAUAUUGGUGCUGACAUAGUAGAUAUGGAAGCUUAAAGUUCAAUUCUUUUGGAUACAGAUUCGUCUCUUUUAUAAAAGGUUGUCCCUUUCUGUAUAUUUAGAUUAGUUUUCUAAUUUAAAUUUGAUACCGAGCAUUCUGCAUUUGGAUGUUUGUUGUAGUUGUUUAAGUGAUGAAAAGCUCAUGACUUUUGGUUUCUCUUGGCAAAGCUGAUCCACAGACCAAACCUAUGGAUUCUCCACAGCUUUUGUCAAAAUUUAUUAUUCUUCGUUGUUCUAGUUUCGGAGAAUUGAGUUUAUAUUUUUGUUCCUGCAGGUCAUUUACGGAUUAAGCUACCAGGACCUGCAAUACUAGGAGAGUUCUGUUGCCUGUUAACAAGAGAGGACUAUUACAUUCCCCAAAAACUGAUCUCUGUCAGAAAGUAUCAAGCUUUGAGCUUGAUGAUUCUCUAGUUCAUUGUGUUCUUCCAAUAUUUGAGGUAGAAGAUGGAGCAGUUCAAAGAGAGGAAGUUCGCAGAGAAUGUGGUAAAGGUUUCACUUCUUCUACAGCUCUUUGUGGUCACAUGGCUUGUCACUUUGACAGAGAGAAGAGGGUGUCAUGUUCUCAUUUUUUUCAGGUCAAGAUGAGUGUAAAGUCAUCAGUCAUCAGUCACGGACUUGUGUAGUAAUCACUUGUGCAAUGCUUACGUACUAACUCUUGUAAUCUUGUAUUCUUGCAAACUCUUGUAGUCAUCAGUCAGGACUUGUAAAGCUUUGUGUCUAUAUAAACUUGUGAACUCUUGUAGUCUUGUCUAUAUAAACUUUGUAUACCAAACUUUUAUUCACAACACAACACUCUUCUUCAUUCA